AACUUUAAAGGCAGAAGGAAAUAAAGUUACUCACUGUUCAUUUAAAAGUUUUGAAAAGAAGCUUUCUUAUAAGUGACCAUGAAGUCUGUCAUAUUAGCGUGGGCCAUUGCUUUCGCGUUACUUUCUGAAAUUUUUUUAGUUAGCGCUAAAGUAACAAAAGUACACUUACGUCGUUAAGACUCUCAAGAUUCACAGCAGUCUACUUGAUUCUGGCACCAACCAAAUCAAAAUGUUUCUUUAUUGACAUAUUAAAAAUUUAUUUAAUGUAAUUAAUUGUAUUCUAAAACAAAAUGAUGUAAUUUAUUUUAAUAAAAAGAAACCUUGAUAAUAAAGAA